CUCCAGUUUAUUGUCACAAAGUAGAUUCAAAGGAAAACAUUUUAUGAAUUUCACAAUGUUUAAAUUGUUUUAGAAUUGUAAGUAAUUAGUAAGCUAGUCUUAAAUAAAAUGGCUUUAAACCUCUACCUACAAUCAUAACAUAAGUCUAGUGAUGCUUGUGGCAGAAAUGCUUCUCCCACGUGUUCCUGGAGGGGACUGCUUGCUAGCCUCCUGCCCCAAGACUAUGGGCCAUGCAAAAGCCUGUUAAAAGACUUAGUUUGUGCCAUUUUCCUAUGCUGUUCGGGAACCAAACAGGCACACGAACCAUGGACCACCCGGGAGCUUGUUAAGCCCUAUCAUCACCUCUUAACGAUUCUAACAGCAGUGUUCUAAUUGUUCAUCUGGGUGGUCGCAGUUCGUAUGAACGGCCAUGAGGUGGCGGCCAUCUUGUUCCUGCGAAUGCAGGCAGUGGUGUUUGGUCGUUGAGUUCAUGGAACUCAAAUCGGACACGGAAACUCCCGAACACUGCUGGACUUGGAGUCUCCAUGUGUGGACUUGUUGCUUUUAUCAUUUUUUGUAUGCAGUUGAUUAAGGCUGUAUGAUCUUUUAUCUUGUUGUAACAAGUAAAGUUUACUUUAUUUUUAACUCUCGAUCCUGCCAUUCUUCUUUGGGUAUCUUUGAGGAGAAAACACAUGGAGACUCCACAGCCUGAAUAAGCUAAUUAUUCACUGCCAUCUAAGCCAGAGCCUGCUUGAUGUUUCUCUGAAAUGCGUGAGUGACCCAAACCUCUGUAAUAGAUUCUGUAUACACAUAUAACAGUAUUAUGCUAUGAUUGUUCUGUGUUAUUUGUUUCAGAUUAAGAGGUUCCUCAUGUAUAAGUAUAUUAUUUAAUUUGUUUAACUAUUGGGCACCCUCCAUUAUCUGUUUUUUUCUUUUGACACUUAAGUGCCUUUUAAGUGAUUUUAAGCACUGAGGGUAGUUGCACUCUUGCUCUUGCAGCGCCAUUCCACCUCUAUUUUAUCCUGCUUGGAUUGAAUACUUGUAUAUCUACUAUUUUUGUGCUUCAACAGCCACUUUCCUUACUCGAAUGGUCAACUUAUGACACGUACCAGACACCAAUUUCAUUUUAUUGUUCAGUCUAGAAAAAAGCCUGUCAUCCCACACAUAUCAAACAUACAGCCUUUGUUGGGCUCCUUUGUCUGAGAAAUUAUGAUUCGUUUUCUUUUAAAUAGUAGCUGAAAAAAUUAAAAUGGAAGGCAAUGCUUGAUUUAGAUACUUAAUGCUCUGUAUUUUCUAAACCAGACCAUGCCUCAUAGCAUAUAGUGUAUUAUAUACAACAAGAAAGGUAUUCUACCACAUUCCUGUCGAAGCUAAAGGUUUUUAUCAAGACUAAAUCAAAAAAAUAAAAAUAGGUUCG